UACGGAGGGUGCGAGCGUUGUCCGGAAUCAUUGGGCGUAAAGGGCGCGUAGGUGGCCCGGUCAGUCUUUGGUGAAAGCGCGGGGCUCAACCCUGCGUCGGCCAGGGAUACUGCCGCGGCUCGAGCACUGUAGAGGCAGGCGGAAUUCCGGGUGUAGCGGUGGAAUGCGUAGAGAUCCGGAAGAACACCAGUGGCGAAGGCGGCCCGCUGGGCAGUGGCUGACGCUGAAGCGCGACAGCGUGGGGAGCAAACAGG
rnacentral:rRNA from 1 species